rnacentral:rRNA from 1 species
GACAGCAGUAGCCACGGGAAUACAGAGGGUGCGAGCGUUAAUCGGAUUUACUGGGCGUAAAGCGUGCGUAGGCGGCUUUUUAAGUCGGAUGUGAAAUCCCUGAGCUUAACUUAGGAAUUGCAUUCGAUACUGGGAAGCUAGAGUAUGGGAGAGGAUGGUAGAAUUCCAGGUGUAGCGGUGAAAUGCGUAGAGAUCUGGAGGAAUACCGAUGGCGAAGGCAGCCAUCUGGCCUAAUACUGACGCUGAGGUACGAAAGCAUGGGGAGCAAACAGGAUUAGAUACCCCAGUAGUCCCUGUCUCUUAUAC